AAAUGACCUUCCUUUUCCUGCCCCCGGUCUGUCAGAGGCACAGAUCUACAGCCAGUACAGAGCUUUGCUGGAAGAGAGUGGACCCUCUGCCAGAGACAACUCUGCGCAGCCAAAGAGCAGCCAUAUUACUUCCUCUCCUUUCAGAGGGUCAGGAGGCUCCUCAUGGAAAUCCAUGGGUCCAGCCCGCCUUUAAAUCACCAGAUGAGAGACUAAACAGCACCAGGGAUGGUCCCCGUGGCCAUGCCGUUUCAAAUUCCACCACAUGAUGUCUGGCAGGUAAACUAUACUGCAGUUCUGAGCCUUCCCUGCAAACUCUAUACUAUACCAGCACAAAGAAA